GAUGAACGCUAGCGGCAGGCUUAACACAUGCAAGUUCGAGGGGUAUAGUAGCAAUACUAGAGACCGGCGCACGGGUGCGUAACGCGUAUGCAAUCUACCUUUUACAGAGGGAUAGCCCAGAGAAAUUUGGAUUAAUACCUCAUAGUAUAGCGACCUGGCAUCAGGAUGCUAUUAAAGUCACAACGGUAAAAGAUGAGCAUGCGUCCCAUUAGCUAGUUGGUAAGGUAACGGCUUACCAAGGCGACGAUGGGUAGGGGUCCUGAGAGGGAGAUCCCCCACACUGGUACUGAGACACGGACCAGACUCCUACGGGAGGCAGCAGUGAGGAAUAUUGGACAAUGGGCGCAAGCCUGAUCCAGCCAUGCCGCGUGCAGGAUGACGGUCCUAUGGAUUGUAAACUGCUUUUGUACAGGAAGAAACCCUUUCACGUGUGAGAGAUUGACGGUACUGUAAGAAUAAGGAUCGGCUAACUCCGUGCCAGCAGCCGCGGUAAUACGGAGGAUCCAAGCGUUAUCCGGAAUCAUUGGGUUUAAAGGGUCCGUAGGCGGCCAGAUAAGUCAGUGGUGAAAGCCCAUCGCUCAACGGUGGAACGGCCAUUGAUACUGUCUGGCUUGAAUUACAAGGAAGUAACUAGAAUAUGUAGUGUAGCGGUGAAAUGCUUAGAGAUUACAUGGAAUACCAA
rnacentral:rRNA from 1 species